GUCUACUUAGCUCAGCUGGAUAGAGCACACGCCUUCUAAGCGUGCGGUCGGGGGUUC
rnacentral:tRNA from 1 species